rnacentral:rRNA from 1 species
AGCGAACGCUGGCGGCAGGCCUAACACAUGCAAGUCGAGCGCCGUAGCAAUACGGAGCGGCAGACGGGAGAGUAACACGUGGGAACGUGCCCUUCAGUUCGGAACAACCCAGGGAAACUUGGGCUAAUACCGGAUACGUCCGUAAGGAGAAAGAUUUAUCGCUGAAGGAUCGGCCCGCGUCUGAUUAGCUAGUUGGUGGGGUAACGGCCCACAAAGGCGACGAUCAGUAGCUGGUCUGAGAGGAUGAUCAGCCUCACUGGGACUGAGACACGGCCCAGACUCCUACGGGAGGCAGCAGUGGGGAAUAUUGGACAAUGGGCGCAAGCCUGAUCCAGCCAUGCCGCGUGGGUGAUGAAGGCCCUAGGGUUGUAAAGCCCUUUCGGCGGGGAAGAUAAUGACGGUACCCGCAGAAGAAGCCCCGGCUAACUUCGUGCCAGCCGCCGCUGUAACAC